rnacentral:rRNA from 1 species
AGAGUUUGAUCCUGGCUCAGAAUGAACGCUAGCAAUCUGCCUUACACAUGCAAGUCGAAUGAUGAAAGUCAUGGCACACGGGUGAGUAACGCGUAGGAAUCUACCUUCUAGAAGGGAGUAAUGAGGUUGGGAAACUGACGUCAAAAUACCGUAUAGGAAAGGAAAGGAGCAAUCCGCUAGAAGAUGAGCCUGCGUAGGAUUAGGUAGUUGGGAGGGGAAUGGCCUCCCAAGCCGAUGAUCCUUAGCUGGUCUGAGAGGAUGAUCAGCCACACUGGGACUGAGACACGGCCCAGACUCCUACGGGAGGCAGCAGUGGGGAAUUUUGGACAAUGGGCGAAAGCCUGAUCCAGCAAGAUUGCGUGGGUGAUGAAGGCCCUUUUGGUUGUAAAGCCCUUUUUUCGAGGAGGAUGAUGACAGUACUCGAAGAAAAAGUACCGGCUAACUCCGUGCCAGCAGCCGCGGUAAUACGGGGGGUACAAGUGUUAUUCGGAAUGACUGGGCGUAAAGGGUGUGUAGGCGGUUGGAAAAGUUGAAAGUGAAAUCCCAAAGCCUGACUUUGGAAGUGCUUUCAAGACUGUCCGACUCGAGUUCAAAAGGGGAGAGUGGAAUUUCUAGUGUAGAAAUAAAAUCCUUAGAGAUUAGAAGGAACACCGAAAGCGAAGGCAACUCUCUGGUUUGAAACUGACGCUGAGACACGAAAGCAUGGGGAGCAAACAGGAUUAGAUACCCUGGUAGUCCAUGCUGUAAACGAUGAGUGCUAAACGUUGGGAACUUGGUUCUCAGUGUUGAAGCUAACGCAUGAAGCACUCCGCCUGGGGAGUACGACCGCAAGGUUGAAACUCAAAGGAAUUGACGGGGGCCCACACAAGCGGUGGAGCAUGUGGUUUAAUUCGAAACAACGCGCGGAACCUUACCAACUCUUGACAUCCGACUAUGGGAAUGUUCGAAAGAAUGUUUUCGAAGGUUGGACAGGUGUUGCAUGGCUGUCGUCAGCUCGUGUCGUGAGAUGUUGGGUUAAGUCCUAUAACGAGCGCAACCCCCAUUUUGAGUUGCCGUCUUGGAAACAAGAGGAUCUCUCAAAAAACUGCCAAUGAUAAGUUGGAGGAAGGUGGGGAUGACGUCAAGUCCGCAUGGCCUUUAUGGGUUGGGCUACACACGUGCUACAAUGGGAAGGACAGAACGGGGCAAUGAUGUGAGUCGGAGCGAAUCGAGAAACCUUCCCUCAGUACAGAUUGUUCUCUGCAACUCGAGAACAUGAAGACGGAAUCGCUAGUAAUCGCGAAUCAGAACGUCGCGGUGAAUCCGUUCCUGGGCCUUGUACACACCGCCCGUCACACCACGAGAAUGGAUUUGACUUGAAGUCGAUGGCGCAACCGCAAGGACCGCGUCGCCUAGAGUGAAAUUCGUGAUUGGGGUGAAGUCGUAACAAGGUAACC